GAUGAACGCUGACAGAAUGCUUAACACAUGCAAGUCAACUUGAAUUUGGGUUUUUAACUUAGGUUUGGGUGGCGGACGGGUGAGUAACGCGUAAAGAACUUGCCUCACAGCUAGGGACAACAUUUGGAAACGAAUGCUAAUACCUAAUAUUAUGAUAAUAGGGCAUCCUAUAAUUAUGAAAGCUAUAAGCGCUGUGAGAGAGCUUUGCGUCCCAUUAGCUAGUUGGAGAGGUAACGGCUCACCAAGGCGAUGAUGGGUAGCCGGCCUGAGAGGGUGAUCGGCCACAAGGGGACUGAGACACGGCCCUUACUCCUACGGGAGGCAGCAGUGGGGAAUAUUGGACAAUGGACCGAGAGUCUGAUCCAGCAAUUCUGUGUGCACGAUGAAGUUUUUCGGAAUGUAAAGUGCUUUCAGUUGGGAAGAAACAAAUGACGGUACCAACAGAAGAAGUAACGGCUAAAUACGUG
rnacentral:rRNA from 1 species